CCUACGGGAGGCAGCAGUGGGGAAUAUUGGACAAUGGGCGCAAGCCUGAUCCAGCAAUGCCGCGUGUGUGAAGAAGGCCUGCGGGUUGUAAAGCACUUUCAAUUGGGAGGAAAAGCGCGAGGUUAACAGCCUUGUGUCUUGACAUUACCUUUAGAAGAAGCACCGGCUAACUCCGUGCCAGCAGCCGCGGUAAUACGGAGGGUGCAAGCGUUAACCGGAAUUACUGGGCGUAAAGCGUACGUAGGCGGUUGUGUCAGUCAGAUGUGAAAUCCCCGGGCUUAACCUGGGAACUGCAUUUGAUACUGCACGGCUGGAGUUUGGUAGAGGAGAGCGGAAUUCCCGGUGUAGCGGUGAAAUGCGUAGAGAUCGGGAGGAACACCAGUGGCGAAGGCGGCUCUCUGGACCAAAACUGACGCUGAGGUACGAAAGCGUGGGUAGCAAACAGGAUUAGAUACCCUGGUAGUCCACGCUGUAAACGAUGAGAACUAGCCGUUGGGGUCAAAUAAGACUUUAGUGGCGCAGCUAACGUGAUAAGUUCUCCGCCUGGGGAGUACGGCCGCAAGGUUAAAACUCAAAUGAAUUGACGGA
rnacentral:rRNA from 1 species